ensembl:lncRNA
UUUAACACGAGACAUUUUAUUUCUUUUCUUCUCACAUUUCAUUUUCUUGUGUGUCUGUUUUCAUGUGUGGUGGGUGUAUUUACAUUUUCACAUUAAACUUGUACAUUUAUUUUCACAUCUUUUCCCCCCAUGUUCGUGUUUGUGUAGUGUUGUGCGGUGUAGUGUUGUGUAUGUGUUUGUGUAGUGUAGUCUAUGUUGUUGUGUAGUGUAAUGUAGUGUAGGUUAGUGUAGUGUUGUGUAGGUUAGUGUAGUGUAGUGUAGUGUAGUGUAGGUUAAUGUAGUGUAGUGUAGUGUAGUGUAGUGUAGUGUAGGUUAGUGUAGUGUAGUGUAGUGUAGGUUAGUGUAGUGUAGUGUAGUGUAGUGUAGUGUAGUGUAGGUUAGUGUAGUGUAGUGUAGUGUAGUGUAGUGUAGUGUUGUGUAGUGUAGUGUUGUGUAGUGUAGUGUAGUGUAGGUUAGUGUAGUGUAGGUUAGUGUAGUGUAGUGUAGUGUAGUGUAGUGUAGGUUAGUGUAGUGUAGGUUAGUGUAGUGUUGUGUAGGUUAGUGUAGUGUAGGUUAGUGUAGUGUAGUGUAGUGUAGGUUAGUGUAGUGUUGUGUAGGUUAGUGUAUUGUAGUGUAGUGUAGUGUAGUGUAGUGUAGUGUUGUGUAGUGUAGGUUAGUGUAGUGUAGUGUAGUGUAGGUUAAUGUAGUGUAGUGUAGUGUAGUGUAGUGUAGU